rnacentral:rRNA from 1 species
CCUACGGGAGACAGCAGUGAGGAAUAUUGGUCAAUGGCCGGAAGGCUGAACCAGCCAAGCCGCGUGAAGGACGAAGGUGCCAAGCAUUGUAAACUUCUUUUGUCAAGGGACAAAAUCAGGCUCGAGAGCCUGACCGAGGGUACUUGAAGAAACAGCAUCGGCUAACCCCGUGCCAGCCGCCGCGGUAAUACGGAGGAUGCGAGCGUUAUCCGGAUUUAUUGGGUUUAAAGGGUGCGGAGGCGGGCUGUUAAGUCCGGGGUAAAAGCCCGGGGCUCAACCCCGGCGAGCCGUUGAAACUGGCUGUCUUGAGAUGUCGAGAGGUAUGCGGAAUGCGCAGUGUAGCGGUGAAAUGCUUAGAUAUUGCGCAGAACUCCGAUUGCGAAGGCAGCAUACCGGCGGCGAUCUGACGCUGAGGCACGAAAGCGUGGGUAUCGAACAGGAUUAGAUACCCGAGUAGUC